AGAUGUGACGAUAUGGAGAUGAGGGAGAGGGAGGGCUGAGAGGGGCUCAGAAUUGGAAGGAGGGAAGUCCAUUGUGUGUGUGGGCGGGGCAGUGACUGCAUGACUGAUGUCAGCAUUUAAAGUAGCUGGCUUAGCAGCUGUACCCACUGCUUGUGGAUUUAAUGCCAAUCUUAUAAAAUCUGGGGCAGGACCCAGGGGCUGGCACACAUGGCUCAGUUCCUGUCCUCAUGGGUCAUUGAGCUCUCUCUCUCCAGGACCCCUUCCCUAAGGGUGUGAUACCUUUGACUGCCAUUGAGAUGACCCGCAGCAGCAAGGACAACAAGUUCCAGGUCAUCACCGGCCAGAGGGUGUUCGUGUUCCGCACAGAGAGCGAGGCUCAGCGGGACAUGUGGUGCUCCACGCUGCAGUCCUGUCUGAAGGAGCAGCGCCUCCUGGGCCACCCCCGGCCCCCCCAACCACCCCGACCCCUCCGCACGGGCAUGCUGGAGCUGCGUGGACACAAGGCCAAGGUGUUUGCUGCCUUGAGCCCUGGA
rnacentral:lncRNA from 1 species